GACGAACGCUGGCGGCGUGCCUAAUACAUGCAAGUUGAGCGGUGAAGCUUUGUGCUUGCACCCAUUUGAAGAGCAGCGAACGGGUGAGUAACGCGUGGGUCAUCUUCUUUUGAUCGGUGGACAACAUCUGGAGACGAAUUCUACUACUACCUAAUAACUUUAACCAUAAGUUUCAAGUUUUCAACAUGCCUUUGCAUCACUCAAAGAUGAUCCCGCGUUGUAUUAGGUAGUUGGUGAGGUAAAGGCUCACCAAGGCGAAGAUACAUAGCCGACCUGAGAGGGAGAUCGGCCAAAAUGGGACUGAGACACGGCCCAAACUCCUACGGGAAGCAGCAAGAGGGAAAUAUCGGAAAUGGGGGGAAGUCUGACCCAAGAAAGACGGGUGAGUGGAGAAAGGUCUCCGAUCGGAAAACCCUGUUGGUAGAGAAAGAAAAGGGGGAGGGUGGAAAGCUCAUGUAGUGACGGUAACUAAAGAAUAAGCGACGGCUAACUACGUG
rnacentral:rRNA from 1 species